CACUGCCUCACUCUCUUCCUCUCUCAUCUCGCUGAAUGCUCUCUCGGCGCCGUCACCCGGCGGUUCGAUCCCUCCGCCGCCGUACGACGUCUCGCGCCACUACUAGGCACCGAGCCCACGCGCCCGCAGAUCGGUGAUCGUCGGCAGUCAUAUUUGACUUGGAUGGGCGGAAGAGCUCGCUGUCUGGAUCUAGGUGGCACUACCUCCCUUAGAGCUGGUCGUGGGAGAAGCCGUCACGCAUCUUGCGGCCUGCCGCCGCCGCAGGUCAGCUGCUCCCGCCGGCCGCAUGCCCCACUGCCCGGCCGCCGUGCUCCGCUGUGGCGCUGCUGACUCUCCUGCUCGUCGCGUGGUGGCCUCAUCUCUCGCCCUUCUCAUUUGCAUCCAGCCACAGCUCUGCCUCCUUCCUCAUGCCGCUCGAGCUGUUCCAGUGAGGCUACAAAGCAGUCUAAUACUGGCUUCAGGGCCUCACAUAUUCGCAUGGCGCUUUCUGAAGUGUAACUCUUAUGGGCCAGAGCUAUUUACUAGUCUGAUUUCUCCUGGGUAUACUCUGCUUUCGGGUGUCUGAUCUGACGACAAGAAUAUUGUGUCGACGGUCAACAUGGACUGUAAAUUGGAACUGGAAGCAAUAGCUCUCUAGGCACGCAAUGCAGAGUAUAACCCCAAGGUUAGCCCAAGAUGAAAGAGUGAGGUCCCCAUGGACGUUGUAUCAUCCCACAGUAGUGGUACUGGCCCAAUCGUGCAUUAUGAAUUGCCAACUGCUGAUG